rnacentral:misc_RNA from 1 species
ACUGAUUCCAAUGCCGGCACCACCGCGUGUAGGGCGGAGUAAACGGUGUUGCCGGAGAAUGUUAAACUCUUCACUGCUGAAAAUGCUUCAUCUCUUGGUACAUACACAAAGGUACUCCUUGUUUCAUAUAAUGGAUCUUUUUUACUUCUUUGUCGACCGGUUCUACACCUUCUAGGAUAUGGUAAUUUUUUUCCACCAAGUAUUGGUCUUUUAGCA